rnacentral:tRNA from 1 species
GGCGGUGUAGCUCAGUUGGUUAGAGCAUGCGGCUCAUAUCCGCAGUGUCGAGGGUUCGAGUCCCCCCACCGCUACCA